UACGUAGGCAGCAAGCGUUGUUCGGAGUUACUGGGCGUAAAGAGUGUGUAGGCGGUGUUCCAAGUCUGGUGUGAAAUCUCCCGGCUUAACUGGGAGGGUGCAUUAGAAACUGGAAUGCUAGAGGAUGGGAGAGGUAAGCGGAAUUCCUGGUGUAGCGGUGAAAUGCGUAGAUAUCAGGAGGAACACCUGUGGUGUAGACAGCUUACUGGACCAUUUCUGACGCUGAGACACGAAAGCGUGGGUAGCAAACAGG
rnacentral:rRNA from 1 species